UGGGGAGUAUUGCACAAUGGGGGAGACCCUGAUGCAGCAACGCCGCGUGAGUGAAGAAGUAUUUCGGUAUGUAAAGCUCUAUCAGCAGGGAAGAAGAUGACGGUACCUGACUAAGAAGCCCCGGCUAACUACGUGCCAGCAGCCGCGGUAAUACGUAGGGGGCAAGCGUUAUCCGGAUUUACUGGGUGUAAAGGGAGCGUAGACGGAUCUGCAAGUCUGGAGUGAAAGCCCGGGGCUCAACCCCGGGAGCUGUUUGGAAAUCUGUGGAUCUAGAGUGCCGGAGAGGUAAGCGGAAUUUCCUAGUGUAGCGGUGAAAUGCGUAGAUAUUAGGAGGAACACCAGUGGCGAAGGCGGCUUACUGGACGGUAACUGACGUUGAGGCUCGAAAGCGUGGGGAGCAAACAGGAUUAGAUACCC
rnacentral:rRNA from 1 species